UACGUAGGUGGCAAGCGUUGUCCGGAUUUAUUGGGCUUAAAGGGUGCGUAGGCGGCCCUGUAAGUCAGUGGUGAAAUAUCCCAGCUUAACUGGGAGGGUGGCAUUGAUACUGCGGGGCUAGAGUACAGAUGAGGUAGGCGGAAUUGACGGUGUAGCGGUGAAAUGCUUAGAUAUCGUCAAGAACACCUAUAGCGAAGGCAGCUUACUAGGCUGUAACUGACGCUGAGGCACGAAAGUGUGGGGAUCAAACAGG
rnacentral:rRNA from 1 species